GGACUACCCGGGUAUCUAAUCCCGUUCGCUACCCUAGCUUUCGCGCCUCAGCGUCAGUAUCGGGCCAGAUGAGCGCCUUCGCCACCGGUGUUCCUCCUGAUAUCUACGCAUUUCACCGCUACACCAGGAAUUCCCUCAUCCUCUCCCGUACUCAAGCCAGGCAGUUUGAGAUGCACGUCCCCGGGUGAGCCGGGGGCUUUCACAUCCCACUUACCUGACCGCCUGCACGCCCUUUACGCCCAGUGAUUCCGAACAACGCUUGCUCCCCCCGUGUUACCGCGGCUGCUGGCAC
rnacentral:rRNA from 1 species